rfam:Brachypodium distachyon strain Bd21 chromosome 1, whole genome shotgun sequence.
AUACUACUCUCUCCGUCCAACAAAAGAUGUCUCACGUUUGUCAAAAUUUGAAUGUAUUUAGACAUGACUUAGUGUAUAAAUGCAUUCAAAUUAAGUAAAAGUUGAGACAUACUUUGUUGGAUGGAGGAAUAGAAG